CAAUGAAUCUUGGAACGGUACAUCAAAAACUUUAUGAUACUGAAGCAUCCUUGCAUCCCUGGAAGAAAUCCCAGUUGAUGAUGGUGGAUGAUCAUCUUAAGUGAUACAAAGAAAGAGAAGGAUAUGAAAAUAGCUGGAUGAAUAGGAGGAGUAUUCAUAAAUGAACCUGAUAAAAGAUUGAUGUUUUCUCAUGUUUCACUGCUUCCCACCUAAAACAUCUAUGGAAAUGUUCCUUAUUUUUUUAGAGAAAGCCUAUCUAAAAACUGAACUCCAAACUCUACCAGAAGAUCAGAAAUAUACAUCCGGUUGAGAAUUUUCCACCCAGUAUGUAAUU